GAUGAACGCUGGCGGCGUGCCUAAUACAUGCAAGUCGAGCGAACGGACGAGAAGCUUGCUUCUCUGAUGUUAGCGGCGGACGGGUGAGUAACACGUGGAUAACCUACCUAUCAGACUGGGAUAACUUCGGGAAACCGGAGCUAAUACCGGAUAAUAUUUUGAACCGCAUGGUUCAAAAGUGAAAGACGGUCUUGCUGUCACUUAUCGAUGGAUCCGCGCUGCAUUAGCUAGUUGGUAAGGUAACGGCUUACCAAGGCAACGAUGCAUAGCCGACCUGAGAGGGUGGUCGGCCACCCUGGAACUGGGACACGGUCCAGACUCCUGCGGGAGGCAGCAGUAGGGAAUCGUCCGCAAUGGGCGAAAGCCUGACGGAGCAAGGCCGCGCGAGUGAUGAAGGUCUUCGGAUCGUAAAACUCUGUUAUUAGGGAAGAACAUAUGUGUAAGUAACUGUGCACAUAUUGACGGUACCUAAUCAGAAAGCCACGGCUAACUACGUG
rnacentral:rRNA from 1 species